GUACAUACCUGGACGGAGUCUUUGGGUGAUCAAGAAGGCCCAUGACUUAGACUGAUGACUUCCAUUGCACAUAAAGGAAGGGAUUUGGUCUAAGGUCUACCCAUGUUGGUAGUACCUACGUCGUAAUUUGUGGCAGUGAGGGUGUCUUGCGUUCGCGCGGACCCCUC